AACCUUCUCACUGCCGAAUGCGUUCGGCGGCCGAAUAAACUUCAUCAUUAUCAGUCGGCGUAAUUUUCGCGCCAAGCUUCUGCCGGGCAUGCGUGGCAACAGCGCUCAUCACCUGUUAGCAUUACAAUGGCGAGCACGCUGGCCUGUGGUUUGUUUAUCUUCGUUGUGAAUUUGGUUUUGUCGAUUUUAUGCUAAUUCAGCAACGAUAUACGUCUCGGCCUAAGUCCGCAAUCCUCAUUUAGAAGAACAGCUUAUGGCACAUUAUUUGGAAGAGUGGAAGCGUUUCACCAAAGAGCUGGAUAUAUGUUGGGUUCAAGAGAAAAAAUAUCUGCUGUCCUUUUUCAAGAGGCGAGCGGUGCCUGCUGGUGGCGUCGCUGCGGCGCACUCAAUGUUCUUCCUGAAGCUGCACAGUCUGUCGGGCGAGCAGUUCCAGGCCUGGUCAAAGAGGUGCUGUUCACCUACAACCAUAAUGGCGCUCAAAUCAUCGCUCGGAACGCGUUCUACACUCAGGCCAACGACCUAUGGUGGUCAGAAUGACGAUUUUGAAACCAGCAGUGGGCGGCUGGCUUGAUGGUUUCGUCCUCUUUUGGAUUGACGUCGUCUACUCGCUUUAGCACGACAGAUGCAUCACAGCGCUGACCUGCGAGUCCAGUUCACUACUUCCUCUCUUAGUCAGGGCCAUUCCGAGUUCCAGGCUACCGGAGAGGAGACGAGGAGCAGCUGGCCGACGUGGACAUUGACGGCCGGCUCGUAAUCAUGGUUCGCACCUAAGGCCAGGAGCUGCGCAUCUACAAGCAGCGCGGGCACUGCGAGCACAUCAAGGAGUGUCAUUUGCUCAAGCGCAUGACGCUCGUAAACCCCAUGUACAAGCUGUUUUUUACUUCGACGUCACUGCCGAUGGCGUCAGUGAGCUCACCCUUAAACGGGCUCACAUGCUCACAUCAUAUUAUGCAGCGCACAAUGUGGAUCAGAUUUUAGUAAAGACUUGAAUUUGUGAAAAGUGAUGAAAUAAAAUGAAAAUGUAAAAUUAUUGCCCAGUUUACUACUAUUAAUCAUCUGUUGUAGUAAAAAUGAUUUUAAAUUUUCUGACAAUGUUUGAGGUUUGGAAACAGGUAAUGAAUUUGUCUUUUAGGAAUUGCAGAAAAUUUUGUUUAUAUAUGCGCUAAUCCUGGCACAACAUUUAGAAUUUAAUAAUCAAAUAAACUUUGGAUCAUUCAAUUCUUCAGUGUUUUGUAUUUUAACUAGUUUACAAGACGUUUAAAUUUUGAUUUAGUGCAAUAGAAGCUUUUACUUGUUUUAUUUUUUAAAUGGUAUUCUAUUGAUUCAAAUCUGUUUUUAAAGUAAAUCCCGACAUCUUUUGUUUACUUUUAAAUUUCCCUUCGUGCACGAAAUAAAUUAUGUCACAAAUGUAUAGCAAAUUUCUAAAUAUUAAUGACUCAUUCACUUCACCAUGCUCCUCUUCACGUUCCUCGGUAGAGCGGAUUGCAAGUAGACAAGAAAUUGAAACAGGAAUUUCUGCUUUUUCCUGGAAUACCGGCAGGACAAGAAAAUAUUUUCAGGAUCAGGACAUGAGGGGAAUUUAGUUUCUGAACAAUUGCAAUCUUGGUCUAUAUUAAUCACGUUUUUGUCAAAAUUUAUAACUGGAGACAUGAUAAUGAUAAAAUUGACUAAAUACUGUUU